AGAACAUAGUAUGUAUGCUGUAGGAUGUAUUAUGCAUUCUAACUUUAAUAGCUGGGCUAAUAAUGUAAUUAAUAUUUUUUGGAUGGUAACAAAUCAAGCAGAUUUGCUAUAAGUACAUCCUGCUUAACGUGAGUGUACUGUAUAUAUAUGAUUUUUAAUCGAAGGCUUUUUCAAAUCAGUAUAAGUAUUGAAUGAUACCAGAUAGCACACCUGCUGUGACAGUCUGAUGUGUUUUGAACACAAAGCUGGAAAGUACUGAAUUCAGUUAAUCCAUUCUAUUUGUUUUGUCCAAAUUCAACAAGUUAAAAGCUUCUUUCUAUCCCUUCUUCUCUCUCCCCACCUGAUUUUUCCUAGGCAAAAGAUGGUUUGGUGUCUGAGGUAACUUGGAUUUGAUGAGCAGUGGUCUCUGUUGUUGUACUUGUGAUUUGCAUUUUUUCCCCUCACUUGGCCACUGAUUUCCUCAUUCCUUCAUUCUUCCUUCUAACCUCCUGUUUGACUUCUCUCCUCUAGCUGCCUCCCGCCAGCCUUUUUCUUCUCUCUCCAUCUGUUUCUUCAGUUGCAUGUGUCUCUUGUGUUGCUCUCUUCAGCUUUAGCUCUCACAUUCCUUUCAUCUCAUUCAGUCUGUUCUCCCCUCUAGGAGGAAGAAGAACUCAGAGAGCUUGAGGAGGAAGAGGAACAAGCUUCAGAGGAAGACUAGUGCUCUGAAGUGGAGGAUUUUGGACCUGGAUUUUCACACGCAGCUUGAAGUGACACCCCACUUGCCCUGGAGCCAUCAAAAAUCACCCACAAAUACCUUCACCGCAGCUUUGCCCAAACCAGAUGUGACACCACUGCACUGCAGAAUAUGCACUCAGGACCCCAACUUCAAGCCCCCAUGAUAACUCUGCCUUUUUGAGGUUGCAAAAUGCCUUUUUACACCAAAGUUGCUUGAGUUGCUUCAUCUUAAGUGGCAAGUUUCAAGUGAAUUUAAAAGGAUGUGUUUUUCUUACUGUACAUAUAGAAAAUAGCUUAUUGUACUACUUUUAAAACUAAUAUUUUGUGACUUUAUUCUAUAGAAUCCCAAAUAGUUGUGCCAAACCACUCAAAUGUGCCAAACUAAUACUUACAAAUACCUCUCUGUGUGUCUUAUAUUGUUCAGUAAGUACACUACCAGUCAUUUUUUGGACACUUUGCCACAGUGCUAAAUGCUAAAAGUAGACUGAACUUAUAGGAAAUUAAUAGUUAUGAACUUUCAGAUGGUUGGAGAAUAAUCUCAUAUGUUAGCUAAUUGCAUAUGAAAUGAGGGAAGUUUUUUGUUUACUUAUAAUAGUAAUAAUUAGUGCUGUCAAACGAUUAAUCGCAAUUAAUUGCAUCCAAAAUAAAAAUCUUUAUAUCAUUUAUAUUAUAAAUAAAUAAUAUUUAAUAUAUAAACAAACAUAUUUUUUUAAAAUUAGUAUACAUGCAU
rnacentral:lncRNA from 1 species